rnacentral:misc_RNA from 1 species
GAUUUGAAGCAUCUUCAGGGGAAAUUUUGCAUUAUGGGAUUGGAUAAUGUGGCGGAUGGUCGACAUGCAUUUGAUGCUAAUAUAAGAAAAAAGCACAAUCUUGUUGAGUUAGGGUUGGAAUGGAGCUGCAACUUUCAUGAUCUUCGAAAAAAGGAAUGUGAAAUGCGAGUUCUUAAUUUGCUAAAACCUUGCACAAGUCUUAGAGAUCUCAGCAUUUCAUUCUAUGGAGGUGCAAAAUUCCCAUUGUGGAUAGGGGAUCCCUCAUUUGCUAAAUUAUCGCAACUAAAACUCUCUUGUUGUAG